AGAUGGUGACAUGGAGCAAAUCCCAAAAAUAACGUCCCAGUUCGGAUUGCAGCCUGCAACUCGGCUGCAUGAAGCUGGAAUCGCUAGUAAUCGCGGAUCAGAAUGCCGCGGUGAAUACGUUCCCGGGUCUUGUACACACCGCCCGUCACACCAUGGGAGUAGGUAAUGCCCGAAGUCGGUGACCUAACCGGAAGGAAGGAGCCGCCGAAGGCAGGACUUAUAACUGGGGUGAAGUCGUAACAAGGUAUC
rnacentral:rRNA from 1 species